rnacentral:rRNA from 1 species
UACGUAGGGUGCGAGCGUUUGUUCGGAAUUACUGGGCGUAAAGCGCGCGCAGGCGGAUCCUGUAAGUCUGAAGUGAAAUCUCACUGCUCAACGGUGAGACUGCUUUGGAUACUGCGGAUCUUGAGACCGGUAGAGACUGGUAGAAUUGCAGGUGUAGCGGUGAAAUGCGCAGAUAUCAGGAGGAACACCGGUGGCGAAGGCGGGUCUCUGGGCCGAUAUUGACGCUGAGGAGCGAAAGCGUGGGGGAGCGAACAGG